AACUACUCAAGCAUCAUAUGUCCAGCAGUACUCCAAGAAGCACCCAAUAAGCAAAUAUGGCUCUCCAACAUAGACCUAUUGCUUGGAGGAGGUCACACUCCUAUUUUGUACCUUUACAAGCCAAAUGGGCCAUUCUCUUCCAAUUUCUUUGAUGUUAAGGUCCUUAAGGAGGCCUUAAAACAAGUCCUUGUGCUAUAUUACUCUGUGGCUGGGAGAUUGAGAAAGCAUGAUAAUGGCAAGACUGAAAUAAACUGCAAUGGAGAGGGAGUACUAUUCAUAGAAGCUCAAGCAAAUUCUGCUAUGGUUGACAUUAAUGACUUCACGCCUAGCCAACAACUUUGGCAGCUUAUUCCAGUUGUUGAGUAUUCAAAUGGCAUCUCUUCGUAUCCCCUUCUUCUUCUACAGGUAACCAAAUUUGCAUGUGGUGGAGUAUCCCUCGGAAUUGGGUGGCAUCAUAUUCUAGCAGAUGGUGUUGGCUUCACCAAUUUCAUGAUUGCAUGGGGCAACAUAGUUCGAGGCCUCCCCAUCGGCAUCCCUCCUUCCUUCGAUCGAACCAUUCUCAGCCACCGAGUCCCGCCAACUCCAACAAUCCACCACCACGAAUAUGGAUCCCCACCCACGUUGAACUCUUCUAGUAUCACUACUCACAACCCACAAUACCAAUCAGCUUCUAAAUCCAAUAAUUCUCUAAAAAUCCUUAAGAUUACGCCUGCUCAAAUCAAAAUCCUGAAAGUUGCAAUUUCCAAGUACACCACCUUUGAGAUCCUAACUGGGCAUAUAUGGCGUUGCGUGAGCGAGGCACGUGGCUUACCGAGUGAACAAGCAACCAUGGUAUACAUAUCCGUCGAAGGCCGGUCUAGGCUGUGUCCUCCAGCUCCCCGUGGCUACUUCGGCAAUGCAGUCUUCCAUACUACAACAACUGCUUUAGCUGGUGAGCUCAUAUCAGAACCAUUAGUGAAGACGGUAAAGAGAAUUCACGAGGCAAUAAAAAGGGUGGAUGAUGAGUAUAUAAGAUCAGCUAUUGACAAUUUGGAGGAACAAAUGAUAUGGGACAACCCACCAAGUGUUAUGAAAGAUCCCCAGAGCACUUGCAGGAGCCCAAACCUCAAGAUUGUUAGUUGGAUGAGCAUGCCUUUUUAUGAUGCUGCUGAUUUUGGAUGGGGCAGGCCAGUGUAUAUGAGGGCUACAAAUCCAU
rnacentral:misc_RNA from 1 species